rnacentral:rRNA from 1 species
AACGAACGCUGGCGGCAUGCCUAACACAUGCAAGUCGAACGAAGCCUUCGGGCUUAGUGGCGCACGGGUGCGUAACGCGUGGGAAUCUGCCCCUUGCUUCGGAAUAACAGUUAGAAAUGACUGCUAACACCGGAUGAAGUCUUCGGACCAAAGAUUUAUCGGCAAGGGAUGAGCCCGCGUAGGAUUAGGUAGUUGGUGGGGUAAAGGCCUACCAAGCCGACGAUCCUUAGCUGGUCUGAGAGGAUGAUCAGCCACACUGGGACUGAGACACGGCCCAGACUCCUACGGGAGGCAGCAGUGGGGAAUAUUGGACAAUGGACGCAAGUCUGAUCCAGCAAUGCCGCGUGAGUGAUGAAGGCCUUAGGGUUGUAAAGCUCUUUUACCAGGGAUGAUAAUGACAGUACCUGGAGAAUAAGCUCCGGCUAACUCCGUG